GAUGUCAAGACGGCUGCCACACGCACCCAAAGACA
rnacentral:tRNA from 1 species